rnacentral:rRNA from 1 species
AAUUUUUGACAAUGGGGGAGACGCUGAUCCAGCCAUCCCGCGCGUAUGAUGACGGCCNNNGUGUUNUAUAGUACGUUUGGCAGNGACNGAAAGUUAUCCACUCAUACGGCCUACUGCUGACGGUAUCUGUAGAUUAAACUCCUGCUACCUACUUGCCAUCAUCCGCGGUAAUACGCAGGGUGCACGCGUUAAUCGGAAUUAUUGGGCGUAAAGCGUGUGUAGGCGGUUAGGAAAGAAAGAAGUGAAAACCCCGGGCUCAACCUUGGAACUGCAUUUUUAACUGCCGAGCUAAAGGAUGUCAGAAGGGGGUAGAAUUCCACGUGUAGCAGUGAAAUGAGUAGAUAUGUGGAGGAAUACCGAUGGCGAAGGCAGCCCCCUGGGAUAAUAAUGACGCUCAGACACGAAAGCGUGGGGAGCAAACAGG